AAUCCGGGUUACUCGUGCAAACGGUGACUCAUCUCCUGGUCUCUUGAGUUCUCACAUGCGCAAAACCUCAAAGAGCCAUUGCCCAAAAUAUUGCCUGUGGUAUUUUUCAUUUGUUCAUUUUUAAGGCCGCAGUGUUACUGACGAACGUGUUGAUUUCGUUUUUUUUCUGUGAAUAAUGCUUGUGCACCUCUGCCAACGCAGUGUGUGCCUAUUUGCCCCUAGUAGUUUUAGUCUGAAACUGAGGAAUAGGAAAGGGGAGUUCACAAAGAUCUGGGGCCCCCUCGUGAAUGCCACUCCAGAUAACCUAAGUUUACUUUACUGAACUUGAAAUGUGACUGACCUUACCCCCCCCCCCCCUCUUUCCACCCCCUUCCUUCCCUGAAGAAAAGGGAUCUGACGCACCACGGACCACAUAACGCUACGUCGCUCCACCCCGAUUUGAACUCGAGCGAGUCGGACGUCGCUCCCUGCUGCGCGCCGCAGCUCCGCAAGCCCAGGUAGACGUCCGCCGGCUGCACCCCCGACAGGGCGAGCUUCGCCUUCGGCAUCCGCACGUACAGGCCUCGAUGGGCCAUCCGCAACCGCUGUCGACGACGACCAACGACCUCCUCACCUUGCGGGACCGGUGGGGCGCACGUGAGCCGGCCGCCACCUCCGCCCGUGUCGGGGCAGCACUUGGUGGCGUUGCCGCAGUCCCCGUCCUUGGCGCAGGGGGCCGUGGAGCCGCCGGGCGGCGAAGCCGGGCAGCCGCCCGCCUUCG